AGCACUUGUGUUUGUGUUUGUUUAAUUUGUGGACAAAGACUCAUUGACAGGUGCAAAAAUAAAUCCUCUUUUGCAACCCAGAACUCAUUGUUCAGUAUGAGUUUUGAUACAGAUAAGAAGGGACAUA
ensembl:snoRNA small nucleolar RNA SNORA40